rnacentral:rRNA from 1 species
GAUGAACGCUGGCGGCGUGCCUAACACAUGCAAGUCGAACGGAGUCCAGCCUUUAAGACCUUCGGGUCAAAGAGGGGAAGACUGAGUGGCGGACGGGUGAGUAACACGUGGGCAACCUGGCUCAUAGAGGGGGAUAACAGAGAGAAAUUUCUGCUAAUACCGCAUAAGCACACACUGCCGCAUGGCAGAGGGUGAAAAGAGAAUCGCUAUGAGAUGGACCCGCGUCUGAUUAGCCAGUUGGCAGGGUAAGAGCCUACCAAAGCGACGAUCAGUUGCCGAUCUGAGAGGAUGAACGGCCACAUUGGGACUGAGACACGGCCCAAACUCCUACGGGAGGCAGCAGUGGGGGAUAUUGCACAAUGGGGGGAACCCUGAUGCAGCGACGCCGCGUGAGUGAAGAAGUAUUUCGGUAUGUAAAGCUCUAUCAGCAGGGAAGAUAAUGACAGUACCUGAAUAAGAAGCCCCGGCUAACUACGUG